rnacentral:miRNA from 1 species
GCAGACACAUUCCAGCCAAUCAGCAGCAGACCCUCCCUCCCAGACCCUCCCACCUCCUGGACAGCAUCCAUUUUGAAGCUGCAUUUUUAGUGAGCUGUCCAGGAGGUGGGAGGGUCUGGGAGGGAGGGUCUGCUGCUGAUUGGCUGGAAUGUGUCUG